GGUGUCAAAGAUGCUCAGCUUUGUUGUUGUCCCCACUUGGUUUUGCUCCCAGAUGGGGAAGGGCUCUCCAGGACACAGCUGGAAUCUGGCAAGCAAAUCUCAUCCCAGCAGCUGUGAGCCUCCUUCAGGCUCUGGAUUGAUCAGAGAGGCACAACCACAGAGCUGUGCCUCUGGCUCUCACACAGGGAAUUUUGGAUGCUGAGAGACCUGACCACUCAGGUGGAGGUAGCAGGGACCCUCAGUCCUGGAGGUACCAGCAGAGCUGUGACAUGGGACCGAAAUCCCCCUGGGCUACCUGCAGUCUCUGGAGACUUCCUGAAGAAGCUACUGCUCUUCUUUUUGGGUCUGUCAUCCUGACAGCUGUCCCCAGGGAGAUCUCAAAACCAAGACCCCAGCACGGCAGAGUGCCACAGAAACACACACCACUGUGCUCUGGCAAACCUCAGCCUUCUCCAGCCCUCCUCACCAAACGAUGGGGACACAGCCUUGCUCUUCCCCCUCUCUUUCUUCCUUUGUUCCAUCCUCUCAAUCAGGCUCUGGCUCAGAAAGGUUUCAUUGCACAACAGCUACACUGGCCUUAGAAAGAUGCAAUUAAGAUGAAACCCACUUAUUUAAAGCAGCUCCUCUCCCAGCACUGCUCUAAUGUCACCUUUGAUCACUGAAACCAACCCAGCUCACAGACUGCCAGGGACAUGUCCUUUCAUUUCUCCCUUCCCUCCUUGCUCCAUUCAGACAAAACUGGUUU